UUAUUCUUUCCAGCGAAUUUUGCAUUGGACUCAUGGGGGAGAAUUCAGCCUCCCUUCAUCCCUUUUCAGGGAUUCAUCCAUGAUUCAACAACACAAGGCAAGAAGUGCCUGAGGUCUCCAGAGUUUUCUUCCAGCAGAUGUUGUAAGUUUUUUGGACUGGCAUACUGUCACUGCCUGUUUGGCUCUCAACCAGCAACUUCUCCUGGGAUGGUUCUAGUGUUACUUCUACUAGACACAGAACAGAAAAAUGAAGAGUGGAUUUGCCCUUGAUGAAACUAUCUUUGACUGCCAAUGACUCAACAUGGACAUUUCCACAGAAACAUUGCUUUUACUGUAUUCUCAAAGACAUGAAAAGCACUUAUGAGGCACAUCUGCAGCCUUUGUAAGCCUGGGAUCUACUGAUAGACAAGAGAGGGACCUAUAUUAUUUGAGGGUCUGUAAUAAUUCCUAGAAAAAAAAUCUGCUCUUGAGAAGUCUAAGAAUAUAGUUACACCUCUAUAACCAUCACUGACAAGAGUGGCCCCAGGCCUCUGCAGAGGGAUCCUGUUCUGUUCUCAUCUGUGGCAAUGGAAAUGAUCAAGAGGAGAGCCAUCUUCCAGGAAAGCUGUCACUCAGGCUGUGGUCCUUGAAUGAAUGGUGGUGAGUGUGCUGGACCUCUACCUUAAACCCGUGUAUACAUUCACUUACUCUGCUGUGGCUUGUGCAACUCAGCCUGGGUUCAGAACUGAAAAGGAGGUUUUAUUUGCACUGAAAGCAGAGAGAUCAUCUCCCAUGUAAGUCUCAGAAUCAUAAUGCUAACCUAUAACUUACUUACACACAGUUCUGCUGGGGUGAAAGUUGAGGGCAAUUAAUUCAUUGUAUCCAGCCUUCACCUGUGGGUGCCAGCUGUUUGGAGAAAGGAUGGGAAAUGCCUAAUAUGCUUUGACAGCUCACUCUUUGUGCUGCGAUUCCAGCUAUUCCAGGAUGAAGCUUCCCUGUUAGAAUGGCCAGUCAAUCUCUCCACACGAUGGAAAACAGAUGUAAGAUUAGGAUGCAAAGUAGUUUUCCAGACUCUUGGUCCCAGUGUGCUGCACAGCCCAGCCCCAGAGUUAAGCAGCCAAGUGCUGACACAUGUCUUAUAGCAAAAUAUCCCUCACAGCCACAGUUCAAAGGCCUCGCUACCCUCCAGGGCAAUUAAUACAGCAUCACGUUCAAUGGUGCUUGAACCAAAUCCAUGGAAUCCUCAAGGGAGAAAUAACGGAGCAAUCACAGCUCUCAGACAAGAACAGCGUGCAGUAGUGGCUAGAGUUUCAGUCCCCCCAAAAUGUAGCUUUUUCCUGAAAGCACGUGUAAGGUUACAGACUUACUCGAAAGGAGCUUUGCUCAGAUUGGAUAAUCCACUUGUAAGGUAGUUCUUUCAAGAGAGCGUAAAAAGUGAGGCAUAGUAACUGAAAAAUAAAGAAAAAGAAAAGCAAGG